UGACCGCUGGCGGCGUGCCUAAUACAUGCACGUCGAGCGAACAGAUAAGGAGCUUGCUCCUUUGACGUUAGCGGCGGACGGGUGAGUAACACGUGGGUAACCUACCUAUAAGACUGGGAUAACUUCGGGAAACCGGAGCUAAUACCGGAUAACAUUUGGAACCGCAUGGUUCUAAAGUGAAAGAUGGUUUUGCUAUCACUUAUAGAUGGACCCGCGCCGUAUUAGCUAGUUGGUAAGGUAACGGCUUACCAAGGCAACGAUACGUAGCCGACCUGAGAGGGUGAUCGGCCACACUGGAACUGAGACACGGUCCAGACUCCUACGGGAGGCAGCAGUAGGGAAUCUUCCGCAAUGGGCGAAAGCCUGACGGAGCAACGCCGCGUGAGUGAUGAAGGGUUUCGGCUCGUAAAACUCUGUUAUUAGGGAAGAACAAAUGUGUAAGUAACUGUGCACGUCUUGACGGUACCUAAUCAGAAAGCCACGGCUAACUACGUG
rnacentral:rRNA from 1 species